GUGCAUAUACAUAAAUACAAAUUGAUGUUAGUAUAAAAAUAAUAUUUAGAAUUCAAACGAUACAGUAAGGUUAAUACAUUAUUGUAUAUGUACGCAUUAUAGUUGCAUACAUAAUUAUUAAAAAAAAAACUUACAGUGACUCACACGUCUAUGAUGGUACCAUCCAAUCAUAAAGUCAAAAUCUAAAAAUGUCACAUAUGAUACAUCAAAUUAAAGGAAAAAUCUUUUAUUUACUUUUUGGAAACUUAAAAAUAGUAACAAAUUAAUUCGCCGCACAAAACUUAGCAAAAUAACACGCAGCAUACAAAAUUCGUUCCACACAACUAACCGGAAAAUUCCAAGAAGUAAUCUUCUACAAGUAACGGUACUUUUGAUGCAUAUUAGUAGUUAUCGGUAAGUCUAUGGGUAAGUAACACGACAAUAUGAUACUUCAACUGUCUUCGAUAUUAUAAAAAAGUAUGAGAAGGAAACAGGAUUAAUAAUAUUAGUAGAGCUGGUCAAGGAAAGAAGCUAACACAAGCCGAAGAAAAGUUCGUAGUCAAAAUUGUUGAAAAAAACCCAUUUUUCUCGGCGGAAAAUGUGAAAAAUAUAUUGGAAAUGAAAAAGGGACAAAGGUUUCAGCUGAAACAAUUCGCCCUAGAAGCUUUGAUUUACACGGUAGAGCAGUUAUAAAAAAGCCGUACAUAUCCGAAAAAAAUAGAAAGAAAAGGCAUUUAAAAAAGCCUGAAGAAUUGUGGGAAAGGGUUCUUUUCACAGACGAAAGCAAGUUUAACUUGCAGGGAUCUAAUGGCCGCAGUUUUGUAUGGCGGCGUAAAAACAAAGCUUACUUGCCAAAACAUACUAGGGCAACUCUUAAGCACGAUGGUGGGUCGGUAAUGGUUUGGGGAUGUGUAUCGGCUAACAGACCGGACAACCUCUAUUUUGUGCAAGGUAUUAUGGAUCGCUUCCAAUAUGUUGACGUAUUAAAGAAAAAUCUAAAGCAAUCACGUGUCACAUUAGGAAUUAAAGACAAUUUUAUAUUUUAACACGCAAUGAUCCAAAGCACAAAUCGGAGAUUCCUCGUACUUGGUUAAUAUACAAUUGCUCUGUACUAGAUACACCUGUCCAAUCCCCAGGUCUGAACGUUGGCACGUAUGGCAAGAAGUCAGUCGAAAAGUGUACCAACGGCAGUAUUCCAAUGUUGCUGAACUCAAAACGGCUAUUUUGGAGGCUUGGAAGGCAAUACCACCAGAAUUUUGUCAAAAGCUUUUUGCCUCUGUACCAAGUCGACUAGAAGCGGUUUUAUCUGCAAAAGGAUAUGCUACGAAAUAUUAGUAAUCGUUAGCUUUUUGAAAAAUCCGGUUAGUUGUGUGGAGCGAAUUUUGUAUGUAGCAAGUUAUUUGUUUAAGUUAUGCGCGGUGAAUUAAUUUAAUACAAUUUUUAAGUUUUCAAAAAUAAAA